GAACGCUGGCGGCAGGCUUAACACAUGCAAGUCGAACGCCCCGCAAGGGGAGUGGCAGACGGGUGAGUAACACGUGGGAACAUACCCUUCGGUUCGGAACAACGCCGGGAAACUGGCGCUAAUACCGGAUACGGCCUAUGGGCGAAAGAUUGAUCGCCGAAGGAUUGGCCCGCGUUCGAUUAGCUUGUUGGUGAGGUAACGGCUCACCAAGGCGACGAUCGAUAGCUGGUCUGAGAGGAUGGCCAGCCACAUUGGGACUGAGACACGGCCCAAACUCCUACGGGAGGCAGCAGUGGGGAAUAUUGGACAAUGGGCGCAAGCCUGAUCCAGCCAUGCCGCGUGAGUGAUGACGGCCUUAGGGUUGUAAAGCUCUUUCGCACGCGACGAUAAUGACGGUAGCGUGAGAAGAAGCCCCGGCUAACUUCGUGCCAGCAGCCGCGGUAAUACGAAGGGGGCUAGCGUUGUUCGGAAUCACUGGGCGUAAAGGGUGCGUAGGCGGGAUCUUAAGUCAGGGGUGAAAUCCCGAGGCUCAACCUCGGAACUGCCUUUGAUACUGGGGUCCUUGAGUCCGGAAGAGGUGAGUGGAACUGCGAGUGUAGAGGUGAAAUUCGUAGAUAUUCGCAAGAACACCGGUGGCGAAGGCGGCUCACUGG
rnacentral:rRNA from 1 species